rnacentral:rRNA from 4 species
UUGACCUCAAAUCAGGUAGGAUUACCCGCUGAACUUAAGCAUAUCAAUA